rnacentral:ncRNA from 1 species
UCUUAUCAAGAGAGGUGGAGGGAAUGGCCCAAUGAAGCCCAGCAACCGGUAUCUAUAUACACGGUGCUAAUUCCAGCAGAAUAUCUAUUCUGUGAAGAUGAGA